GCCUUCGUGAUGUAGUGGUCAGCACGCUCGACGCAUAACCGAGAGGUCCGUGGUUCGAAUCCCUAUGAAGGCG
rnacentral:tRNA from 1 species